UUCUUCUUUCUUUUUUUUCAGCCUUACUUUGCUCUGCCCACCUGCAUUGGGCUUCAUUGGGUGACGCCCCGUGUAUAUGUGUGAUAGAGGAGUUAAUGACGUGUGUUCUCUCCAAGGUGCUGGGAUUGGCCAGGUAAAAUCACUGAGAUGUGGAGCACCUGGGCCUGCUGCUCCACCUCCACUAUAUAUGCUGGCUUCCAGUGGCUCUGCUCUCUGCUCCUUCACCUGAGCCACAUGCACAAUUUAUUUAGUUUUCUCUGUUAGUGCACCCUUCAACGCCACAUCAUUUUCACACACCCACAUACACACUACUGAUAUUACAGACAAGACACACCUCAUACCCGCAGGUAUUAUUUGUUUGACUUACUUUCAGUUGUAAUAAAUUAUUUGGGUUAUUUUGGAAAGCGGACUCCUCCUGUUCUUUUGUCAUGGCCAUUGAGCCGGGUUAUGACAAAAUGGGGGCUCGUCCAGCUGUUUUGUUCCCGUUUUGGUUGCAAUGUGGACUCGGCGUGGAUCCUCGGCUGCAGUUUGUUUACGCAGGUAGCAGGAGAGUCAGUUAACAGGGAAACCGAACCAGUCUGUGAAGCCUGUUCCUCUGCAACCGAUACCAGCCGUAAGUGAACCUUUCGAACAUCUUAUAGUCGAUUGUGUUGGCCCUUUACCGUGUUCAAAAUCUGGCAGUAAGUAUCUUCUUACAGUGAUGUACCAAAGCAUGUUAUCCUGCUGCGUAUCUGCUGAGGUCCAUUACAGCUAAAUCUGUGGUAAAGGUGUGUGAUGGCCCGAUCUGCAACUUGGACCAUGCAGUGUUAGUAUCGUUUCUUUUCAUUUCAAACAAAUGGUCACCCACACAGUUUUGGUUAAAUGUUUAUUUAGCUUCUUUGAUUUACAUUGUGAUGGUGUUACCAAUUUGAGUGGACGCAUUUUGGUUACAUUUAGUCAUGAGUUCAUCAAAUUGGCUUAAAUUAUUAAUUCUUUGUACCUUUGUCUCUGUUGCUCCACAUGCUGCUGAGGUCCUGGCGAAAGGGAGAGGUGGAGUUUAAGAUGGCCUUUUAUGCUGGCAGUCAGGAACUGGAAGGUGCCAACUCCCAGUGCUGUGAAGGGGAGUGCUGAAGUGCAGAGGCCUCAAGAAAAGCAGCGUGUGUGCAGUUGUUUGAGUUUGGGGUGGUGGUGUUGUUUAAUAUGUAUAGGUAUUUGUAUUAUGUCUUUAUUAUGGCAGUUGGGUUUAUUUUGGGGUUUUAUAUGGUGUGAGGAAUAGGUCUCUCCCCCUUUUGUGUGUUUGU